UACGUAGGCAGCGAGCGUUGUUCGGGGUUACUGGGCGUAAAGGGUGUGUAGGCGGUUCUUUAAGUUUGGUGUGAAAUCUCCCGGCUCAACCGGGAGGGUGCGCCGAAUACUGAGGGACUUCGAGUGCGGGAGAGGAAAGUGGAAUUCCUGGUGUAGCGGUGAAAUGCGUAGAUAUCAGGAGGAACACCGGUGGUGUAGACGGCUUUCUGGACCGUAACUGACGCUGAGACACGAAAGCGUGGGUAGCAAACAGG
rnacentral:rRNA from 1 species